GACGAACGCUGGCGGCGUGCUUAACACAUGCAAGUCGAACGGAAAGGCCCUGCUUGCAGGGUACUCGAGUGGCGAACGGGUGAGUAACACGUGGGUGAUCUGCCCUGCACUUCGGGGUAAGCCUGGGAAACUGGGUCUAAUACCGGAUAGGAGCCAUUUUUAGUGUGAUGGUUGGAAAGUUUUUUCGGUGUAGGAUGAGCUCGCGGCCUAUCAGCUUGUUGGUGGGGUAAUGGCCUACCAAGGCGGCGACGGGUAGCCGGCCUGAGAGGGUGGACGGCCACAUUGGGACUGAGAUACGGCCCAGACUCCUACGGGAGGCGGCAGUGGGGAAUAUUGCACAAUGGGCGCAAGCCUGAUGCAGCGACGCCGCGUGGGGGAUGACGGCCUUCGGGUUGUAAACUCCUUUCGCUAGGGACGAAGCUUUUUGUGACGGUACCUAGAUAAGAAGCACCGGCUAACUACGUG
rnacentral:rRNA from 1 species